AUUGAACGCUGGCGGCAGGCCUAACACAUGCAAGUCGAACGAGUGGCGGACGGGUGAGUAAUGUCUGGGAACCUGCCUGAUGGAGGGGGAUAACUACUGGAAACGGUAGCUAAUACCGCAUACUAUCGGAUGUGCCCCGAUGGGAUUAGCUAGUAGGUGGGGUAACGGCUCACCUAGGCGACGAUGCCUAGCUGGUCUGAGAGGAUGACCGGCCAAACUGGAACUGAGACACGGUCCAGACUCCUACGGGAGGCAGCAGUGGGGAAUUGGGCACAAUGGGCGCAAGCCUGAUGCAGCCAUGCCGCGUGUAUGAAGAAGGCCUUCGGGUUGUAAAGUACUUUCAGCGGGGAGGCGUUACCCGCAGAAGAAGCACCGGCUAACUCCGUGCCAGCCGCCGCGGUAAUUC
rnacentral:rRNA from 1 species